CCGAACAGAAAAAAAACAUAAGAGAUGUGGGUUGCGAAUGGUCACACUGGUCACGCGCUCGCCUUUGGGCGAUAUAAACAAAUGCGUAAAACAAUUAACGGAAUAGCGGGUGGCAGGAGGAGGAGGUGAGAUCUUUCUCGGUGUGUGCAAAAGUGCAGACUGAUUGUGAAAAUGACAAACAUAAACAAAGAGAGCUAAUUCAAACAGAAAUCGGAUGAGUCCGCUCGCAGGGGAUGGCAACUGUGUAGGGAUGAAACGUGGUACUCACGACUAUCGAGGGAAAAAGGACUAUUCUCAGCGAGCCGGUCUUGGCCGUAAUUUUAAUCAGAAUAAGCAAUAUCUAUAAAUAUGUUUAAAUGCAUAAUGUAUUUCAAAUAAAUAUGAAUUAAAUUUAAAA